rnacentral:rRNA from 1 species
GCGSCMYUKKKKKKYGYYYGGGUGCGGGUKCUUACCAUGCAAGUCGAACGAUGAAKCCCAGCUUGCUGGGUGGAUUAGUGGCGAACGGGUGAGUAACACGUGAGUAACCUGCCCUUAACUCUGGGAUAAGCCUGGGAAACUGGGUCUAAUACCGGAUAGGAGCGUCCACCGCAUGGKGGGUGUUGGAAAGAUUUAUCGGUUUUGGAUGGACUCGCGGCCUAUCAGCUUGUUGGUGAGGUAAUGGCUCACCAAGGCGACGACGGGUAGCCGGCCUGAGAGGGUGACCGGCCACACUGGGACUGARACACGGCCCARACUCCUACGGGAGGCAGCAGUGGGGAAUAUUGCACAAUGGGCGCAAGCCUGAUGCAGCGACGCCGCGUGAGGGAUGACGGCCUUCGGGUUGUAAACCUCUUUCAGUAGGGAAGAAGCGAAAGUGACGGUACCUGCAGAAGAAGCACCGGCUAACUACGUGCCAGCAGCCGCGGUAAUACGUAGGGUGCGAGCGUUAUCCGGAAUUAUUGGGCGUAAAGAGCUCGUAGGCGGUUUGUCGCGUCUGUCGUGAAAGUCCGGGGCUYAACCCCGGAUCUGCGGUGGGUACGGGCAGACUAGAGUGCAGUAGGGGAGACUGGAAUUCCUGGUGUAGCGGUGGAAUGCGCAGAUAUCAGGAGGAACACCGAUGGCGAAGGCAGGUCUCUGGGCUGUAACUGACGCUGAGGAGCGAAAGCAUGGGGAGCGAACAGGAUUAGAUACCCUGGUAGUCCAUGCCGUAAACGUUGGGCACUAGGUGUGGGGACYAUUCCACGGUUUCCGCGCCGCAGCUAACGCAUUAAGUGCCCCGCCUGGGGGAGUACGCCCGCCAAGGCUUAAACCUCARAGGAAUUGACGGGGGCCCGCACAUGCGGCGGAAKCAUGCCGGAUUAAUUCGAKUGUCCRACGGCGAAAGAAAAAAMUACU